GGAGGUGAGGGUGAUCUGCCUGUGACAUCGGUCGCUGCAUUCAUCUCCAGGGUUGAUUCAGCUGAUCUGGCGGGGUAGGCAGGUGUCUGCUUCCUCCCUCACCACUCCAUGUGCACCGCUUCGGAACCGGUGUGCUUGGUCAGAGGCCGACCUUCCUUGAACAGAGGGGGCUGGGCUUUGGUCAGGGUGUAUGAGUCGCUGCACUCCCGGGCUAGAACAACCUCCAAACAAACUCAAGAGACGGCACUGCCUCGGGGACCUACUGGGCGGAACUUUUAAAAACAGAAGCACACAAAGAAAUUGAUUCAGAGAAGAGUAUCCUGGCAGCCCUUCUUCU
rnacentral:snRNA from 1 species